UGCUACAAUGGGUAGUACAGAGGGUUGCCAAGCCGUAAGGUGGAGCUAAUCCCUUAAAGCUACUCUCAGUUCGGAUUGUAGGCUGAAACUCGCCUACAUGAAGCUGGAGUUACUAGUAAUCGCAGAUCAGAAUGCUGCGGUGAAUGCGUUCCCGGGUCUUGUACACACCGCCCGUCACACCACGGGAGUUGGAGACGCCCGAAGCCGAUUAUCUAACCUUUUGGAAGAAGUCGUCGAAGGUGGAAUCAAUAACUGGGGUGAAGUCGUAACAAGGUAGCCGUAUCGGAAGGUUCGGCUGGAUCACCUCCUUUCUAAGGAGA
rnacentral:rRNA from 1 species